CUAUAAAAGAUGUAACAGAUGCAAACUGUAAAACAAGGGCAAUUAACCCUUGCUCUUCUGAACAGAAACCCUCCUGUCCUCCCCAUCUAUUGUCCUCUCCUGCACUGCAAGUUUUGCACAAAAUGUCAAA
ensembl:misc_RNA